rnacentral:rRNA from 1 species
GCAACCUGCCCAAAAGAGGGGGAGUAACACUUGGAAACAGGUGCUAAUACCGCAUAACCAUAGUUACCGCAUGGUAACUAUGUAAAAGGUGGCUAUGCUACCGCUUUUGGAUGGGCCCGCGACGCAUUAGCUAGUUGGUGGGGUAAAGGCUUACCAAGGCAAUGAUGCGUAGCCGAACUGAGAGGUUGAUCGGCCACAUUGGGACUGAGACACGGCCCAAACUCCUACGGGAGGCAGCAGUAGGGAAUCUUCCACAAUGGGCGAAAGCCUGAUGGAGCAACGCCGCGUGGGUGACGAAGGUCUUCGGAUCGUAAAACCCUGUUGUUAGAGAAGAAAGUGCGUGAGAGUAACUGUUCACGUUUCGACGGUAUCUAACCAGAAAGCCACGGCUAACUACGUGCCAGCAGCCGCGGUAAUACGUAGGUGGCAAGCGUUAUCCGGAUUUAUUGGGCGUAAAGAGAACGCAGGCGGUCUUUUAAGUCUGAUGUGAAAGCCUUCGGCUUAACCGGAGUAGUGCAUUGGAAACUGGGAGACUUGAGUGCAGAAGAGGAGAGUGGAACUCCAUGUGUAGCGGUGAAAUACGUAGAUAAAUGGAAGAACACCAGUGGCGAAAGCGGCUCUCUGGUCUGUAACUGACGCUGAGGUUCGAAAGCGUGGGUAGCAAACAGGAUUAGAUACCCUGGUAGUCCACGCCGUANACGAUGAAUGCUAAGUGUUGGAGGGUUUCCGCCCUUCAGUGCUGCAGCU